GGGGGCCCGGGGCGGGGCGGUACGCGCCCCCCGGAUCCGGCGGGGGGCAGGGGACGCCGGCCGGCCACGGCGCCGGUGGCUUCGGCGGCUCCCCC
rnacentral:tRNA from 1 species